AUUGAACGCUGGCGGCAGGCCUAACACAUGCAAGUCGAGCGGAUGAAGGGAGCUUGCUCCUGGAUUCAGCGGCGGACGGGUGAGUAAUGCCUAGGAAUCUGCCUGGUAGUGGGGGAUAACGUCCGGAAACGGGCGCUAAUACCGCAUACGUCCUGAGGGAGAAAGUGGGGGAUCUUCGGACCUCACGCUAUCAGAUGAGCCUAGGUCGGAUUAGCUAGUUGGUGGGGUAAAGGCCUACCAAGGCGACGAUCCGUAACUGGUCUGAGAGGAUGAUCAGUCACACUGGAACUGAGACACGGUCCAGACUCCUACGGGAGGCAGCAGUGGGGAAUAUUGGACAAUGGGCGGAAGCCUGAUCCAGCCAUGCCGCGUGUGUGAAGAAGGUCUUCGGAUUGUAAAGCUCUUUAAGUUGGGAGGAAGGGCAGUAAGUUAAUACCUUGCUGUUUUGACGUUACCAACAGAAUAAGCACCGGCUAACUUCGUG
rnacentral:rRNA from 1 species